AAUAUUUUUUUCUACAGCCGUCAAAAAAUCGUGACAUUUAUGCAUGGUUACCUAUGCGCGAAGUUUGACGUUUUUUCACUGUGAAAAAAUAUUAUUUUUUCACGGUUUCACAGUGAAAAAAUAAUAUUUUUUAACUGUGCAGGCAACUCGAUUUUUCAGAUCAUUUUGUUCCAACUUAUUUCUGUUACAAUUUUAGUAACACGAAAAGACAUCAACAGCAACCGAAAUGAAGAGACGGAUCGAUAAUGAGAGAAUGAAGUCUGAGCUGGUUGGUCUAUCCGCUGGAACGGCCUGACGAAAGAACUUCCUGACUUGUGAUUUGAAUUAUUAUUGACAAUGUAAUUAACGCCCCAAAUAAAAAUAUCUAUAUUACAAAUUAUCAGAAGUGGGAUAGACCAAGACCAGACACCAGAUAAAGAAUUGAAGUUCGUAUUAGUAGAGAUUUCCGUUCUGUUAUUAUUCUCGUUUAAUAAUUUUAAAGUGAAUUUGAAAUUUGAAAAAUUAAAUUGACAGUGUCAUUAAAUUAUAUUUGAGUGAUGGACUAAAAUUGUUAUAAGUGAGAUGGAAAGAGGUGUUUCAAAACAAAGGUUCAAAGUGUAUUGAAAACUAUGUUUAUUAUUAUUAUAAGAAAUUAUCAAUGUUGAAUGAAUUAGAAAUCUUUGGAAGACGAGCUGUUUCGUGUAUUAUCGGGGGAUGUAUUAGUGAGAACUAGUGCUAAAGCAGGCCAGUAUGAAAGUCCGGAAAUGCUCUUAUGUUAUCUUAGCAGUUUGACGGAAACGCAAAUUUUGAAUACCGAAUUUCAGCGCAAGUCACAGGAGACCGUUAUUUGUUACAAUUGUAAUAAGCCAGGGCAUAAAUUUAGAUACUGUAAAAUGCGAAAUUAAAAUGUUGCACAUUCGUUCGUUGUUAUUAUUGGACGGUAUCGGUCAUAUUUCGAAAAAAAAAAAAAACUGAAAAUUACAUUGGUUUAAAAUUUAAAAUAGAAAAUUUUAUCAAAAUAUUUUUGGAUGAAGAGUAAAAGACGUCUCGGGACGAGCCGAAUUUCAGGAUGGCCGAAUGUAAUAAAAAUAAUUUGUUAAAUACUAAAUUUAUUAACCAAUGAUGUGUUUGUGUUUGUGAAUCACAUUAGUUUGUGCGUAACUAUAUAAAAAUUAUAAUAAACAAAUUAUAUGAACUUCAAUCCUGACAAAAGCAGAACGAAGGCGUAAAUUUGAAUGAAGUCUGAGCUGGUUGGUCUAUCCGCUGGAACGGCCUGACGAAAGAACUUCCUGACUUGUGAUUUGAAUUAUUAUUGACAAUGUAAUUAACGCCCCAAAUAAAAAUAUCUAUA